rnacentral:rRNA from 1 species
GUUAGGAAUCUUCCACAAUGGGGGCAACCCUGAUGGAGCAACACCGCGUGCUGGAUGAAGGCCUUCGGGUCGUAAACAGCUUUUGUAUACGAAGAAUAUGACGGUAAUAUACGAAUAAGGGUCGGCUAACUACGUGCCAGCAGCCGCGGUCAUACGUAGGACCCAAGCGUUAUCCGGAGUGACUGGGCGUAAAGAGUUGCGUAGGCGGCUUAUUAAGCGAGUAGUGAAAUCUGGUGGCUCAACCAUCAACACAUUGCUCGAACUGAUAGGCUUGAGAAUGGUAGAGGUAGUUGGAAUUUCUUGUGUAGGAGUGAAAUCCGUAGAUAUAAGAAGGAACACCAAUGGCGUAGGCAAUCCCCUGGGCCUGCACUGACGCUCAUGCACGAAAGCGUGGGGAGCAAACAGGAUUAGAAACCCUUGUAGUCC